GGCGCGGUAGCUCAGCUGGUAGAGCGAUGAAUUUUGUGCAGAAAUUUUCUUCCAUACAGAGAAUCCGAUUAGCGUAAAUUGGACUGUAGUUCCAGUGGAACUGAUUAAGUGAUUUUUCUAAUAUUAAAAAAAAGCAAGGACAAUCGGCACAUACUUCACCUCAUUUGUCGGCAGUUCGAUUCUGCCCCGCGCCU
rnacentral:tRNA from 1 species